GACGACGCUGGCGGCGUGCUUAAUACAUGCAAGUCGAGCGAGGUUACUGGAGUGGAGCCCUUCGGGGUGAAGCUGCUUUAACCUAGCGGCGGACGGGUGAGUAACGCGUGGGUAACCUACCCCAAAGUCCGGGAUAACAGCGGGAAACCGCUGCUAAUACCGGAUGCCUUUACCUUGGGGCAUCUUGAGGUAAAGAAAGGCAACGCUUUGGGAUGGGCCCGCGUCCCAUUAGCUAGUUGGUGAGGUAACGGCUCACCAAGGCGACGAUGGGUAGCCGGCCUGAGAGGGUGGACGGCCACACUGGGACUGAGACACGGCCCAGACUCCUACGGGAGGCAGCAGUAGGGAAUAUUGCGCAAUGGACGGAAGUCUGACGCAGCGACGCCGCGUGAGCGAAGAAGGCCUUCGGGUUGUAAAGCUCUGUUGUAAGGGACGAAGGAGCUGGGUAGUAACUGACCUGGCGGUGACGGUACCUUACCAGCAAGCCCCGGCUAACUACGUG
rnacentral:rRNA from 1 species